UGGAACUCUGAAGAAUGAGGCCCGAGUCAGCAGCACAAGUGCAUCAGAGGCCGUAACCUUCAACCUUCAUCCCAGUUCCAGAGUGCUGGGAUGCAGAAAGGACCACAAGAAUGAAAUGGAAAGGCAUUUUCUGGAGCUUCUUCAGUUUAAUAUUAAUGUUCCUGCCAGUGUUUAUGCCAAAUACUACUUUGACCUUCGCUCCUUAGCAGAUGACAACAACCUGAAUUUUCUAUUUGCUCCUCUUAGCAAAGAAAGAGCACAGAACCUAGAGGCUAUUUCUAGAUUGUGUGAAGACAAAGACUUAUGUAGAGCUGCUAUGAGAAGGUCUUUCAGUGCUGAUAACUUCAUUGGUAUUCAGCGCUCUAAAGCCAUCCUCUCUUAAAGGGAGAAAUGAGGGGUUAUAACGUCACGGGACCUUCAUCUACAAAGACUGGAGAAAUAUCACCUUUCCUGCUCAAAAACCAGCAAAAUUAGUGUUUUCAUCAAAAGGAAAGAUCUCAAAUUCAAGAGACUCAUGGACAACAAGGAUUAUACUCCAUAGGAAAGAAUGGGACCUUGU
rnacentral:sRNA from 1 species